rnacentral:snRNA from 1 species
GGUGUCCUAAGAUGAGCUCA